AUACGGCCAUAUCACUUUGAAAAACCCGUUCUUGUACAAUUAUCGAAGUUAAGCAACGUCGUGUCUGGUCAGUACCUAGAUAGGUAACAGCUUGGGAAUAGCAGGUGCUGCAAGC